rnacentral:ribozyme from 13 species
UUUUUCGUUUUUUUUUUUGUUUUCCGUUUUCUCUUUGGUUCUCCCAAGUGUUUAAAACAAGAUGGCUGAUGUCCAGAUGCGCGGA